rnacentral:sRNA from 1 species
UGCUAUAAUUUGUUGUGUGGUGCAUUAUGCUAGUCAUAAACACUAUUUGAAGGUGGGGCUAAAAAUCCAUCGUUGAUAUUUGGCACUUUAUAUAUUUGCUUUUUCUGCCCAAGUUAGGGUGAAUAUAUAAUUUAAAAUUUUAGGGAAGAUUAUAAUGGCAUAUAAUGGUACCCUGGAGUUACGCUGUAAGUAAACAUCAUGUCGUGAGUGAAUGUAGGGGAUAUUUUGAAACUAUAUUUGCAAAAGCGAAUAAGAAUAGGUUAGUUGUGUUAGAGAAAAUCUCUAGCGUGUAUUUAUUAUAAGGAUUGAAGUGCGGACUAAGUGGCCAUCGAGUAACUAUCCAUUAGUUGUUUUUUAUAAAGGAGAAAUCGCCAUAGGGUAACCGAAGGAAGAAAAACAGAGAAAUUCGACUCGACCAAAGCCGUAAAAUUAAUUUAUAAUAAACCAUAAAUUUUUUCCACUUU